rnacentral:rRNA from 1 species
GACGAACGCUGGCGGCGUGCUUAACACAUGCAAGUCGAACGAAGUGGCGAACGGGUGAGUAACGCGUAAUCAACCUGCCCUUCAGAGGGGGACAACAGUUGGAAACGACUGCUAAUACCGCAUACUGAAGGAGGGGAUUGCGUCGGAUUAGCUAGGUGGAGGGGUAACGGCCCACCAAGGCGAUGAUCAGUAGCCGGUCUGGGGAGGUGAACGGCCACAUUAGGACUGGGACACGGCCCAAGAUCCUACGGGAGGCAGCAGUGGGGGAUCUUCCGCAAUGGACGAAAGUCUGACGGAGCAACGCCGCGUGAGUGAUGACGGCCUUCGGGUUGUAAAGCUCUGUUAAGCGGGACGCGGUACCGGAAUAGAAAGCCACGGCUAACUACGUGCCAGCAGCCGCGGUAAUUC